rnacentral:rRNA from 1 species
UAGAUACCCUGGUAGUCCACGCUGUAAACGAUGUCGACUUGGAGGUUGUGCCCUUGAGGCGUGGCUUCCGGAGCUAACGCGUUAAGUCGACCGCCUGGGGAGUACGGCCGCAAGGUUAAAACUCAAAUGAAUUGACGGGGGCCCGCACAAGCGGUGGAGCAUGUGGUUUAAUUCGAUGCAACGCGAAGAACCUUACCUACUCUUGACAUCCACGGAAUUCGCCAGAGAUGGCUUAGUGCCUUCGGGAACCGUGAGACAGGUGCUGCAUGGCUGUCGUCAGCUCGUGUUGUGAAAUGUUGGGUUAAGUCCCGCAACGAGCGCAACCCUUAUCCUUUGUUGCCAGCACGUAAUGGUGGGAACUCAAAGGAGACUGCCGGUGAUAAACCGGAGGAAGGUGGGGAUGACGUCAAGUCAUCAUGGCCCUUACGAGUAGGGCUACACACGUGCUACAAUGGCAUAUACAAAGAGAAGCGAACUCGCGAGAGCAAGCGGACCUCAUAAAGUAUGUCGUAGUCCGGAUUGGAGUCUGCAACUCGACUCCAUGAAGUCGGAAUCGCUAGUAAUCGUAGAUCAGAAUGCUACGGUGAAUACGUUCCCGGGCCUUGUACACACCGCCCGUCACACCAUGGGAGUGGGUUGCAAAAGAAGUAGGUAGC